CAGGGAAUCUUCGGCAAUGGACGAAAGUCUGACCGAGCAACGCCGCGUGAGUGAAGAAGGUUUUCGGAUCGUAAAACUCUGUUGUUAGAGAAGAACAAGGACGUUAGUAACUGAACGUCCCCUGACGGUAUCUAACCAGAAAGCCACGGCUAACUACGUGCCAGCAGCCGCGGUAAUACGUAGGUGGCAAGCGUUGUCCGGAUUUAUUGGGCGUAAAGCGAGCGCAGGCGGUUUCUUAAGUCUGAUGUGAAAGCCCCCGGCUCAACCGGGGAGGGUCAUUGGAAACUGGGAGACUUGAGUGCAGAAGAGGAGAGUGGAAUUCCAUGUGUAGCGGUGAAAUGCGUAGAUAUAUGGAGGAACACCAGUGGCGAAGGCGGCUCUCUGGUCUGUAACUGACGCUGAGGCUCGAAGGCGUGGGGAGCAAACAGG
rnacentral:rRNA from 1 species